UAGGAAAUGAUCUGAUUCCAUCCAUAAUGCUUGUUGCAUUUCCUUUGGCUUAUGGUCUGCAGAUUUUUCACUUUCAUUUUUUUCACUCACUGGUAUUUCCUUCCUGCACCACUGCUGGGUGACUACAGGCAUUGCUGGCAGAAAUUCGCCUUGGAAGACUGACAGUUUGCCUGGAACAUCCAGUUACAAAUGUGAUGCUCACCUGAACCUCAGAGGACCAACAGCUGUUCUACCUAAUCAGGCUGCAGCAGACAGCAAACAGUGAAGCGGGCGAAUUUGCCAUUUAUAUGGAUAGCUUUGCAAAGCAACCCAGCUCCUUCAAAAAGAGGUAAGUGUAAUGCACAAUAUGGCAGUUCUUUUAAAAUUGAUGCUUAAAUCUAUUUUAUUUGUAUAUGAGA
rnacentral:lncRNA from 1 species